rnacentral:Y_RNA from 1 species
GGCUGGUUCGAAGGUGGUGAGUUAUCUGAAUCGAUUGUUCACAGUCAGUUACAGAUUGAACUUCUUGUUCUGCUGCUUUCCUCUCUUCUCACUACUGUAUUGAUUAAUAUUAA